rnacentral:rRNA from 1 species
CCUACGGGAGGCAGCAGUGGGGAAUAUUGCACAAUGGGGUAAACCCUGAUGCAGCGACGCCGCGUGAGUGAAGAAGUAAUUCGUUAUGUAAAGCUCUAUCAGCAGGGAAGAAAAUGACGGUACCUGAGUAAGAAGCCCCGGCUAACAACGUGCCAGCAGCCCCGGCAAUACGGAGGGGGAAAGCGUUAUCCGGCUUUACUGGGUGUACAGGGAGCGUAGACGGCAGUGCAAGUCUGGAGUGAAAGGCGGGGGCUCAACCCCCGGACUGCUGUGGAAACUGUACGGAUGGAGUGCAGGAGAGGGAGGUGGAAUUCCUGGUGUAGCGGUGAAAUGCGUAGAUAUUAGGAAGAACACCAGUGGCGAAGGCGGCUUACUGGACUGUAACUGACGUUGAGGCUCGAAAGCGUGGGGAGCAAACAGGAUUAGAUACCCCUGUAGUC